AUCAGAUUGAUUCAAAACUGCUGGAGUGCAGGAGGGAAGGCAGCCUAUGAAGUAGUACUGUAAAACCAAAGAACCACUGAAUCAUGAGCCAGCAGAACUAUUUUCCAGAGCUUUAAAUAUUUCAUCUUCUUGCCUGGAUACUGGAUUUUCAAAUAAUAGACUAAGCAGCUGAUGAAGUUUACCUAUUCUUGAUUUCUACAUUCUUGAUCCAUAGGACCACUUUGAUAGGAGACUGCAUAUUUCCAGAAGACCUGCAGGGCCUUGCCAGCAGAUAAGAGUGAACAUGGAGGCGCCGACUUGUAUCUUGCCUUCACAGGAUGCAAUGGUACCAUCCCUGAAUCUCCCAUAGCAAGCUGGAGUUACUUGGUCACAGGCCAGAUCUUCCACCAGUAAACAGUCCUGAGCACCCUCUUCCGAAGGCAAACAGCUCCAAAGAAAUGCUAUCAAAUGUAAAAUUGUCCAUACAGUGAUGUUGAUUGCCACACAGAAACACCCACCUCUCAUCUCCUAGAUAAGUCAGUCUUAUCACAGGAAAUGCCUCAGAAAGCAAGCUUUGAGCCAAAAACAAAGGAUUCAUACACAGGACAGAUAAGAAAAUAUGAUGAAAAACCAUGUGGGUCAAAAUAAAGACAUGGAGAUCACCUACCAAUUACUGUCAGAAGCAAAAAAAGACUAGACUACUGGAAGAUUAAUGCAAGUUAUUGCCAAUUAAAAUAGAAUAGGACAGUGAAAAAUAAAGUGAGAAACAAAACUUGAAACACUUCCUACCCACCUCUACCCUCUCUCUACUUCACUCCUUCAUUCCCAGUUUCUCUCUCCCAAUCUUACUGUGUGGCACAAAGGGAUGGGGAAGAAGGGAUUAUAGUCAAAAAACCAUAAUGAUUUAUCUCUGCCUCUCAUUCCUCCUCACAUUUUUCCUCAGCAUGAGCCACAGAUCAUUCAGGAAAUAUCUACCUGACUGACUGCGGCCCACUUCAAUCUGCUCUAGUGUGGGGUCCUCCAAGACCUGCAGUGUGAAUAUUUGCUCUGGCAUGGUCCUCUCUACAGGUUACAAGAUAGCUUCUCCAGGAUAGCUUCCCCACCAUGGACAUCUCCACAGGCUGCAAAAGAACAUCUGCCCCUGCAACACGUCUUCCACUCCUUCUUCAUUGACCUUGGUGUCUGCAGGGUUGUUUCUCAUCUGUGUUUUUUAAUUCCCUCUUCACUGCAUGAAACAUUAUACUCUUUCUUACAUACAUCUUCCUCAAGGUGCUGCCUUCUUGGCUUCUGGGCCUAGUCACACCCUUCAGUGGGGCCAUUGGAGUCCUGCGGCACAGCCCCAGAUUUGCCUUACAAGGGAGUCUUGCAGCCUUUGUCACCAGCACCUGUAGCCUGUACAACUCUACAACGUCUAGCAUUACUUUAAAAAAAUCUUCCUCUCCUUGGUGUAUCUUGGCUCAAAUAACAUGCAUGGUAAUAUUUUCAUACUGCUUUUUGCCUCUGGUAAUUCUUUGGUUUUACUUAGUUAAGGCAAACAUAUUUAGUGUUUUGAAAUGUCCUUUUAUGACAGGGAAAGUUCCUUUCCUUGUUCUUGCAACACACUCGUUGUUAUUGUACUUAUAACUAUAAGUGAAAUAAUGGAAAUCCUUAAAUGUGCAACUUGAUAUGUUAUUGUUUAUCUUUAUUAUCUUCUGUUUAUAAUUCCUCAGUUCUCGGCCUACAAUAAAUCAUUUCUAUUGAUCUC
ensembl:lncRNA